rnacentral:rRNA from 1 species
GACGAACGCUGGCGGCGUGCCUAAUACAUGCAAGUCGAACGAACUCUGGUAUUGAUUGGUGCUUGCAUCAUGAUUUACAUUUGAGUGAGUGGCGAACUGGUGAGUAACACGUGGGAAACCUGCCCAGAAGCGGGGGAUAACACCUGGAAACAGAGUCUAAUACCGCAUAACAACUUGGACCGCAUGGUCCGAGCUUGAAAGAUGGCUUCGGCUAUCCAUUUUGGAUGGUCCCGCGGCGUAUUAGCUAGAUGGUGGGGUAACGGCUCACCAUGGCAAUGAUACUUAGCAGACCUGAGAGGGUAAUCGGCCACAUUGGGACUGAGACACGGCCCAAACUCCUACGGGAGGCAGCAGUAGGGAAUCUUCCACAAUGGACGAAAGUCUGAUGGAGCAACGCCGCGUGAGUGAAGAAGGGUUUCGGCUCGUAAAACUCUGUUGUUAAAGAAGAACAUAUCUGAGAGUAACUGUUCAGGCAUUGGCGGUAUUUAACCAGAAAGCCACGGCUAACUACGUGCCAGCCGCCGCCGUAA